rnacentral:rRNA from 1 species
UACGUAGGGUGCGAGCGUUAAUCGGAAUUACUGGGCGUAAAGCGUGCGCAGGCGGUUCGUUAAGUCAGCUGUGAAAGCCCCGGGCUCAACCUGGGAAUUGCGGUUGAAACUGGCGAACUAGAAUCUGGCAGAGGGGGGUGGAAUUCCACGUGUAGCAGUGAAAUGCGUAGAGAUGUGGAGGAACACCGAUGGCGAAGGCAGCCCCCUGGGCUAACACUGACGCUCAUGCACGAAAGCGUGGGGAGCAAACAGG